UACAGAGGGGGCCAGCGUUAUUCGGAAUUAUUGGGCCUAAAGGGCGCGUAGGCGGCUUUGCGUGUCUUUCGUGAAAUCCCUCGGCUCAACUGAGGACGUGCGGAAGAAACUGCAGGGCUGGAGUCCGGGAGAGGAGGGUGGAAUUCCCAGUGUAGCGGUGAAAUGCGUAGAUAUUGGGAGGAACACCGGUGGCGAAGGCGGCCCUCUGGACCGGUACUGACGCUGAUGCGCGAAAGCGUGGGGAGCAAACGGG
rnacentral:rRNA from 1 species